GGAAGGACGAGGCGGUCGCGG
rnacentral:misc_RNA from 1 species